UCUCUCUCUGUCUCUCUCUCUCUCUGUGUGUUCCUCUCUCUGUCUCUCUGUCUCUAUCUCUCUGUCUCUAUCUCUCUGUCUCUCUCUGUCUCUCUCUGUCUCUCUCUGUCUCUCUCUGUCUCUCUCUCUCUCUCUGUCUCUCUCUGUAUUUACUUGUGUGUAAGUGCAAAUGUGAGCAUGCCUCCUUCACAUAUGGAAGCUGGAUCGACACCCUUCACGUGGAUUGUUGUUGGGUAAAGCAGAGUAGCUGGCCAGCAAGCAACUGCGAUUCUCUGAGUCUCUUCAUUCCUUUGAGGGAAGCUUUGGGAUAACGGACACACUGACCAGCCCAGCUUCUAUGUGAGUUCUAAGGAUCCGAACCUAGAUCCUCAUGUUUACUCUGCAAGUUCUUUACUCAUCUCUCCAGCCUUUACCUUGUCUCAAUUAACUUAUGAAAAACAGAAUCAGUACCUCUGUCCAAAGGUAGUGCAUCUUCUGCUCCUCUCUGUUUACUGCUUGAUCGUCUUUCAAGAACCUAAAACAAGUGAGCUCUACUAGGCUCCUUCAUCCUAAAAGCAGUUCCUAAGAAAACUUCGAGUAUAUCAUAUCUAAGUCUGCUUGACCAUUACACAGUUCAGCAUUCAAACCAACCAAACUAUAAGCUAGACCAGAAAUGGGAGAUACUGUGCUUCCAGGACAUUAGAAGUGGAGAAAGAAAAUUCAUCUAUGCAAAUUAGCAUUGCCAACAUUUGAUACUUUAUGCUGUUGUCCAAAUCUUCAAUACAAUUCAUAUUCUGUUAAAAAGAUGACUAGAUGACUUGGGAAUAUUCACAAGUUCUUCUGAGUAGCCUGGAAAUUUAGGUUCCCAACAAGUAGAAUUCCCCCUUUCAAUAACAGAAAAGACUUCCGUUCUCAUCCUUCUUGCCCGACUUUACCUGAGGGUCACAGGAAUUUUAUUUCAAUGGAAUUAACAUGCCUAUUUAAAAGGAUUUUCUCUGGUCUUUAAUUCUAAGUAAUAUAAACCAUAAAAGUGAGUUACCGAUAUGGAAUUUGACAUAGAUGAGACUGUUCAGGGCUCAAAAUUAUAUCUAGUUAAAAUGGAAUAUUUCUGAUCUUGUGUAUUAACCUGAUGCCACUGCCAGGUAGAGAGUGGGCAGUAUAUGUGGACGUGUGUGUGUGUGUGUGUGUGUGUGUGUGUGUGUGAGAGAGAGAGAGAGAGAGAGAGACAGAGAGAGAGAGACAGAGAGAGACAGAGAGACAGAGAGACAGAGAGACAGAGACAGAGAGAGACAGAGAAAGACAGAGAGACAGAGACAGAGAGAGACAGAGAGAGAGACAGAGAAAGACAGAGAGACAGAGAGACAGAGACAGAGAGAGACAGAGAAAGACAGAGAGACAGAGACAGAGAGAGACAGAGAGAGACACAGAGAGAGACACACACAUACACACACACACACACAGAGAGAGAGAGAGAGAGAGAGAGAGAGAGAGAGAGAGAGCAGAGAUUUGAUUUGUCUUCUGAUAAUUUUUAUGCAGAUUAGUUAGAGCCCUGGAACCCAUCUUGCUGCCUUGUAAACUGUUCAAACUCCUUACCUGACUCACUGUUUUCAGUAGUUGUGGAUGUCAGGCUCUCAGGGUCCUGUUGUAGCAAAUGUAGAUUUAGAAUAGGACUUCCUUUUGGCUUCUUCACUGCAGAGAGAUGUUUCAAUCAAAGAAGAAAAUGGCUUUUCAAUCAUGAUCAGAAUUCAAUAACAGUAAAUCACAGCCUGUGGGAAAUCGGAAGAUAAUUGAUUUCAUUUAACUAACGAAAAGGCCCAUUUUAGUGUUAAUCCUUUCUAUAGUUGCUAUUUAGACAGUUUUAAAUAAAUGCAAUCAUGUAUCAUUUUUUAAAGCACCACUGGCUGUCCAAGUGUUGCAUUGUGGGAAGGAUAUGGCUACGGUGGACCUGUGAGUACAGCCUAUAAUCUCUAAAAGUACAAGUGUGUCACCUGACCAAAAAGUGGCUAAGCACACCUCGACUCCCUGCCCGUUACAGUCAGGACAGUUAUAGAAGAUAGCCUUUGGUGACAAUUAUGUCAUUUAAGCUACCUUUUUAAGAUAGAUGAAGGAGAAUAUGGAUAAAAAUAAGCUAAUGUGAAGCUCAAGUAACAAAAUCUAAAUAAUCAAAAACCUACUAACUCCAAAAUUCAUAAAAGACAACUAAGUUGAGGGUGACAGAUCAAAGUAGAUCUCAGCAAAUGGUAUUUCAUUAUGGCACUGAGGGAAACUAGAGAUUAAAAGUUGUACAUACUGGUGGGAUUUUACGAGAAGAAUUUUGAGCACAUGUGUCCAUUGACUACUUAUUGGCCUCUUAGAUCCUGUGAAAGAAAUAUUUUUAUAUCCUGGAAUUUGUUCAGUGUAAUUUGACUAUUUAAUAGACUCUGAAAUAACUGAACAGUUACUUAAGGAUUAAGGCAAGAUCAACUAAAAAUGUCUAGAUACAAACAUUGUUAAACAUUUUCAUUGAAUAUCCCUUUUCAUGCCUGAUUUGUUUAGAAAUACUCCUGGAAAAUGGAGCCUCAGUAUUUGUAUCCCUUUUUCCAAAGUAGAAACUGAAGUGAUAGCUUUAGUAUUACCUUAUCAUCUAAUCGUGUCUUCUAGGCAUCAAAAUGGGCGUUUUUGAAAAUCACUGUUAAUUUGUUGGUGACAGUCUGUUGCCCAGUACACUGCUAAACUUGAGGACAUACAACACUUCACAGCCAAAUUCCCAAUAAAUGGGAUGAAAUACUUUUCCUGAGAACUUUUUUUAACUUCGAACUUAUUUGUUAUAGCUAGUUCAUUAGAAGGAAUGGGUUAAAGGUUAUAAGGUCAAAUAUUCACCUUCAUAUAACAGCAUAGUCCCUUUGAAAACCUAUACCAUACCUUUGGGACGCUGUAUUGAUAUGUAUUUAAACACGUUAUUACUAAUUGGCACCCAUGUGGCUAUCAAUAUAUGUAUUCUGAACAUAUUUCCCAUACUUGGGUUCAAGUUGGAUAAAUGACUUCAUUAUGAGCUAGGCUUCCCACUAGACACAGUCCUAUCUUCAGCACAUGUGUGGAUGGAAGCAAAGAGUAGAUACAUCCCUGAAACGGAGACAGGAGUUCAGGGAUCUUGUCACACACACUGCUAAGGAGCUGACCCAUGGCACUCAUGGACCUAUCCACAAUGAACCAGUCAGGACUGUGCCCUCUAGGAUAUUAAUCUCCAAUUUUCACCACCACUGUCACACUUUUAGGUAUUUGUCAGAGAGCUCAGUCCUUAGAUGACCCCUUGGAGAAAACACAUAUUUAAGAUUCCUUUACUCCUCUCCAAGACAUGGUUUCUCCAGGUAGCCCUGGCUGUCCUAGAACUCACUCUGUAGACCAGAAUGGCCUGGAACUCACAGAGAUCCUCCUGCCUUUGUUUCUCCAGUGCUAGGAUCAAAGAGGUGUGUCACCACGGCACAUCUCAGGCUACAUUUUCAAAGCCAGAAAGUAUUCAUUACGUUUAUCAAAGCUUCAGGCCUCCACUCACUUCCCUUUUAGGCCCACUCUGAAGCCUACCAUUGAAACGAGGACCAUUUUCAAGCCGAGUAAGAGAUGAGACAUGCUCCUUCAGCCAGGAAACCAGCACUCAUCUGUUGCACAGCUGCUGUGUUGGGCCUACUCAAGAGUUUUACAAGUAAACAGAGUGAGCCUUUCCCACAGAGCUGUGUUCUAGUGAUAGACACCUGUUUCUGCCUUCCCAUAGGCACCUAGUUCUCUUUAGCAUGCCAAGAAGAAGUAUAAAGCCUGCAUAGUACACCCAUAUUGUGAAGCCUUCCUAGACCUUUCUAUCUGACCCUUCUAAGUCCUCUCACAUGUUUCUUUCAAGCCAUUCCUUCUUCCUAUCCAUUUUGUUCCAAGAAAGAAGUAUCACGCCAAAGCCAGAGAAUCCUUUAACUCCAUUUUUUUUUCAUCUAUGAAAUAAUUAAUGACCUAGGUAUAGGAGACAAAGGACUGAAAAAGCUCAAAGCACUAUUGCUCUGAAGAAAAAUGAGAGUCAAAUAAAAGUAAGAGAGCAUAAAUAAGCAAGGGAACAAUUAAAAAAAGUAAAAGCAUAAAACACCAGGAGGAAAGAGAAUGGAGACUAAAGCAAACAAGAAAAUCAGACUCAGGUGAGGGUCUCUCCAAAGGCCAGAGGCACCAUUCCUAGGGAAUGAAUGGCUGCUGUCAGCAAGAGCUAAAUAAUUCUGAUAUGCAAGGAGUCUGUGAUUCCAGGUGGGACUGCCUAUGAAAAAUCAAAUUCCAUAGCAAGUGAUCUGACAAAGCAGUAUCCUAGCUCAGAGACAGAACCUAAUCUCCUCCCAUGGUCUCUGGAUGCACAGGAUUCUAUGGAAACACACCCCCAAAUUCCAUCACUGCUCAGCAGGGUGAGAAUUGUGUGAGAACAAAGAAGGCGCAUCUCAGAGCAAUGGCCUGCGAUUUGGUGGGUGCAGGAGAACCAGCGGUUGGGGAAGACCAGCAGACAGAACAUGAAUUCCCAACAAUACAUGUGUUGACUGAUGACACCAUGCUCUGCUUCUCUUCUCUCAGGAGCCUCCCUCUUACUUGGGAACCUAUUUUUUUUUUUUCUAAAUAAAAUGUGUGUCAGGGAGGAGCAUUGGGGAGGAUCUAAAAUGGCUGUCUUUUGAUGUUUGCUGUCAAGUCUACUGAAUGUGGACGGUUGCUGCCUCUUUUGACCUGAAUUAAAUGAGGUCUCCAGGCAGAUGUUUGAUUGACCUACAUAAAAAUGAAUAAAUUCACAUUUUUGUUAGGCAUAUUUCAAGUAUUAUCCACUAGGCACAGUCGCCACACACAUUAUCAUCACUAAAGCUGGGUAGAUAAUGAGAAACGGCAUUCAGAAUGUAUUUUGUUUCACUUUUCAAAUGAACUCUUGCCUACUAUCUGUUAUCUCACCGAGAAAGAUCAGUAUGAAUUAUUAUAUCUUGUGCCAGUAUAGAGCAGUUAGAGGUAUAGGCUUCCUGGAUCCUUCAUAACAAUAUUUUCAAUUUCCU
rnacentral:lncRNA from 1 species